GAUGAACGCUGGCGGCGUGCCUAAUACAUGCCAGUCGAGCGAACGGACGAGAAGCUUGCCUUUCUGAUGUUAGCGGCGGACGGGUGAGUAACACGUGGAUAACCUACCUAUAAGACUGGGAUAACUUCGGGAAACCGGAGCUAAUACCGGAUAAUAUUUUGAACCGCAUGGUUCAAAAGUGAAAGACGGUCUUGCUGUCACUUAUAGAUGGAUCCGCGCUGCAUUAGCUAGUUGGUAAGGUAACGGCUUACCAAGGCAACGAUGCAUAGCCGACCUGAGAGGGUGAUCGGCCACACGGGAACGGAGACACGGUCCAGACUCCUACGGGAGGCAGCAGUAGGGAAUCUUCCGCAAUGGGCGAAAGCCUGACGGAGCAACGCCGCGUGAGUGAUGAAGGUCUUCGGAUCGUAAAACUCUGUUAUUAGGGAAGAACAUAUGUGUAAGUAACUGUGCACAUCUUGACGGUACCUAAUCAGAAAGCCACGGCUAACUACGUG
rnacentral:rRNA from 1 species